CAUGCAAGUCGAACGAGGCUUGGUAGCAAUAUCAAGCUUAGUGGCGCACGGGUGCGUAACGCGUAUGCAACCUACCUUUGACAGGGGAUAGCUCCCGGAAACGGGAAUUAAUACCGCAUAAUAUAUAAACUUGGCAUCAAGAGUAUAUUAAAUCUACGGAGGUCAAAGAUGGGCAUGCGUCUGAUUAGCUAGUUGGUGAGGUAAUGGCUCACCAAGGCGACGAUCAGUAGGGGACCUGAGAGGGUGAUCCCCCACACUGGUACUGAGAUACGGACCAGACUCCUACGGGAGGCAGCAGCAGGGAAUAUUGGGCAAUGGGCGAGAGCCUGACCCAGCCAUGCCGCGUGAAGGAAGAAGGCUUUCUGAGUUGUAAACUUCUUUUAUCUGAGAAAAAACGAUCCCUGCGGGGAGCAUUGAUGGUAUCAGAUGAAUAAGCACCGGCUAACUCCGUGCCAGCAGCCGCGGUAAUACGGAGGGUGCAAGCGUUGUCCGGAUUUAUUGGGUUUAAAGGGUGCGUAGGUGGCCUUGUAAGUCAGUGUUUAAAGUCUUCAGCUUAACUGGAGGAAUGGCAUUGAUACUGCGAGGCUUGAGUAAAGUUGAGGUAGGCGGAAUUGAAGGUGUAGCGGUGAAAUGCAUAGAUAUCUUCAAGAACACCG
rnacentral:rRNA from 1 species